AUUGUAGACGCGUCAAAAAAAGGUGUUGCACAAGAAGCAGUACAGAACAUUAAAAGUGCAGGCAAAAAUAUGACCGAGUCGGAGGCUAGGCAGAUUCUUGGGGCUGCAGAGCAUCCAUCAUGGGAAGAAGUGUUGCAGAAAUAUGAUAAGUUGUUUGAGAGUAACGCUAAAAAUGGAAGUUUUUAUCUUCAAUCAAAACUUCAUAGAGCGAAGGAAUGUUUAGAAUCACUUCACCAAAGUAAAGCAGAGGGCCCAAAUUAGUUCUUUGAAGUUCCCCCAGCAUUGCAGCCAGACAUUCUGGGUUCUUUUAGGAGUAUUUGAGCAGAAGAGAAUUGCGCCUGAGCACCAGAUGUUUCCUGCAAUGUUACAUUUGUAUUCGAUCCUUAAUUUUGGUAAUUAUGGCCCGUGGGAGAGAAGCAUUUUAAUUUAUCAUUGGUGUAGUUAGCAUAACUCUGAUUUUGCUUAGAAGCGCGCUUCAUGCGUUUGGUUCCCGCAAUAUGACGGAAGAGUAGCGUGAAAUCAAAAAUUUGGAAUGCAAAUUGCAAUCUCCAUGUCUUACGAAAUGAAAUAAAUUGUGUGUAAUUCGGCUGUGCUGUAUAA